UGAGUCCGGUACCAGACGCAACAAUUCCCCCAGUACCCAGGUGUCAGUCGCCCAGGCGCGGGGGCGUGGCCUGGGCGGUGCUUGGGCGGAAGUGCCGGGACUUCCAGUGUGGGCGGGGCCGGCAGGCGGCUGGAGGCGGGGCCUGCGAGCGGGGCCCGUUAGACUGGGGUCUCCCCACCCGGUGGGCAGCCGCCUGCGUUCACUAUCGCGGGCGCCCUGCGGCGACCCCGUCUGGGCACCUGCGCGAGGCCCCCGGCGGCUUGCGGGACUCGGCCGGCUCCCCGCCGCAUCUGGAAGGGUCGAAAAGAAACGAGAGCUGGGGGGUCAUCCUUGUGGCUUUUCCGUAGCGGAAAAGCGCCUCGCCCUGAAAAUACAAACCCAGAGCCCAGGCAGCGGGUCGUCGUGGGGCCAGCACCCCUCGGGGCUCCGGUCGUGUCCUGAGGCACUCGGGACUGUCCGGACCCCCUGGGUCCUUGUUUCAAGAGUUGGCAGGGAUCCAACUGCCCUAAAUGAUCCCUAAAUGUUUAGGGACAGUUAGGCAGUGUCCCUAAAUAUUUAGGGACAAUACUUGUGAUUUCCGGGGAUCAGCACCUGCUCUUGGAUCUUCUCAAGGCCUGCUAGAUUUCAGAAUCUCAAAGGUUUGGCCACUGCACUCCCAACCCCUAAGGAAAGGAUGGGAGAUGAAUUAUUAAAGGACACCGGGGCCAUUAGCAUAUCGGGCCUCACCUCUCUGGGGCCCUUGCCCUUGAGCAACUGAAUGUUUUAUUGAAGAGGAAAAAACAUGCACGAAAAAGUUUUCUGUUACGGUCUUACAUUAUAUUUGGAAUCAGUAAGAAAAAAAACCCAACUGCUAUUGUUUUCACGAAUGGUACUGAUGAAACCUGCACCACAAAGAGUCAAGGUAUGAGACGAUAGGAAGGACAUGUAAGCUCUCUGCAUACACUUCAGAUUCAUAUUCUGGAAUUACAGAAAUCUCUAUUUUUAAAAUUCUGUACCCAAAAUGCACUGAAGACAUUCUGGGUUGGACAAACCAUGGAAUUUCCUCUUCCCAGACCAAAACAUUAUUUUCAAUUCUGGGGGCAGCCUGUAGGCCACAAAAUUGUGGAUUGUUGUAUAAAAUCAACACCUUACCUACUAUCUUGGAGUAUAAAAACGAGACAUUCCAUGAUGACACUUAAUUGAAGGAGGAGUGGCCAAUCCCCUUUAUGGCAUUAUCGUGCUGGUGUUUCAGACACCCAAGAAUCUGAAUAAAAAUUUUAGGAUACUUAGGCCCAGCCAGAGGAAGCAAGGACUGGGUGAAUUGCUCUGUAUGGUAAAGAAAAAUGGAAUUUUGAAUUUACAAGAAGACCAAGAGUCAAAAUGAGGUUUAUAGCACCAGCGCACAAAAAUACAGGAAUGCUUUGAGAAAACAGUGCCCGGAGCACAGCGCUGACAGCCAUCACCCAACCCCCUGGAAACAAGAAUCUAAGAAAACAACAACCAAGGCAUUUCCAGUUCCUGAAGAACUUUCUAUCUCCGGUGGUCCCAGUGAUCCAGCCAGAGGCAACAUCUUAGGCACAUCCUGUUCUCACUUUCGCUCUGAGUUAUUGACAACGUUAUGAAUUCAAUAUGUACAUUAGGUACCUGCUGUUCUCCUGAUUUGUUUGCACAGUUUGAGGACUUACACCGCUGUCUUCUUGAGGAUGUAAAUGGAUACUCUCCUUACAUUUUUCAUCUGUAGUUUUGCUAAUUGGCAGAGGGAGAAAAAUAAGACAAAUCAUUUUAUACAUUUCAGUCUUGGAAGAAAGUAGUCAGUGGCUUCCAUUUUGAAAUUGAGGGCAUAAGUUGCCUCGGGUUUCUGAAAUCUUUGCAAGAUAUGUAAAAAGGACACAACCAAAUCCCACCUCUCCAGACUAAAUAACUCAGAGUAGGAAAUAAAACUAAAACCAUCCUGUACGUUGCCAGGAGACUAGAAUUGCUUAUACACAAGUGUCCAUGCCUUCAAACGACAUUUGCUUCCAAAGUCAUUUUGACUGGUAAAUACUGUUUACCACCAGGUGGUGACAUUUAGGCUUCACAAGGGCAACAGCUUUGCACAACAAUCUUACACAAGGCUUCCUUCUUCUGCUACAGCGAAGAUGGAAGUUCUGUUUUGUGUACAGUUAACACCCAGAGUUUGGAAAGCAGCAGCAGUUGUCCGGACGUGUGUGAGGACUAGGGUAAAUCCAAGCAUUUAAGCACUUUUAAAUGUCAAUAACAAUCACAUGUAAAUAACAAUAGCUCACACUUUCUGACAUUCAUCCUAACUGAGGCACCAUGUUAAGUGAGGUAGGAACUAUUAUUGUCCCCACAUUACAGACAAGGAAAAUAAAGUUUAGAGAAGAUGAGUGCCUUGCUGAGGGUUUCAUAGCUAGUAAGUGGGUGUGACACGGCUCCUAAUGAUUGCAAAGCCCAUCAUCUUACCUGGGAUGCUACUCUGCCUCUUUGGCAGUUGUUUAAGCACUUCAUUUUACAUAAACGAAAUGGUAAAUGGUACAAUACCAGUACCCUUAGAGGUCAAAUAUGUGUUGGUAUUAGGGACUUAAGGAUCGAAGCCAAAGAGUUAACUCACUCCACCGCCUCCCAGUACUUCCUUAUUGCUCAGUUAGUCUUUACCCUUUGGUGGAAAUUAGAAUGAGGGCGUCCCUGAGACAAGGAGGAAGACUGAGUCAGAAGCCAAAGUGUUCCCAGAAUGAGGAAGCACAAACUUGAGAUCCACGCCUGAGGAAGAGUAGAGGGUUGUACUGACAGGUGUUAUGGGCGUCCACGGAGCAAUGACGAAGUGGUUAGCCGAGGAAUGGCGUAGAAGCAGUCUUGGGUGAGUGGUACGUGGGGUGUGAGAAAAUACAACCUUAAUAUACGUUGAAUGAAUGCCUAUCCAGUUGAUUGAUGGUGGUUAUGAGAUAACAGAAAAUAUAUACUGUUUUCUUCCCUCAGUCCUUGGCACGGAUAUCUGAAACCCAUGUAUAAUUUUAAGAGCACUAGGAUCUCUUGUUUUAAUAUUUAUUUUUUGACCCCAUCUCUGACACAGUUCUCCUAAAAUCCUUGUGAAGUCCUAAGUGGUAAGAGCACUAGGUGAAUCUUUUGUUCAAAUGAGGAGACUCUGGCUGUGCUCCCGGAUAGCUCAUUGGUCACUAGAAUGAUGAAACUGUGAUCAGAAGGUUGGAACUUCAGCCCCAUCCCCUACCCUUCAGAGAGCGGAGAGAGGCUGGAAAUGGAAUUAAUAAUUGAUCAUGCCUACAUCAACAAACUUCCAUAAAAUCUCAGAGGUAUGGGGUUCAGAGAGCUUCCUAGCAUGUGAAUGUAUCCAUGUUUGGGGAAUGUGGUGCACCCCAGCUCUGUAGCGACAGAAGCUCCUGUGCUUGGGACCCUUCCAGACCACACCCUAUGUCUUUCCUCAGCUGGCUGUUCAUUGUAUUCUUUCUCAUAUCCCUUAAUAAACGGAUAAAUAUAAGUAAAUGCUUCCCUGAGUUCUAUGAGCCACUUUAGCAAAUACAUCAAACUCAAGGAGGGAUUCCUGGGAACUCAGAUUUAUAGCCCAUCUGUCAGAAGCACAGAUGACAACUUGUACUUGAGAUUGACAUGUGAAGUGGGGUGGGAAUAGUCUUGCAGAACUGAGACCCGAAGCUGUGCGAUCUGACAUUAUCUCCAGGUAGACAGUUUAAGAAUUGAAUUAAGUUAAAUUGUAGGACACACAGCUGGUGUCACAGAAUUGUUUGGUAUGGGCGGGGGGGGGAACCCCGCACAUUUAGUGACCAGAAGUCAAAAGUGAAGUGUUCUGUGCGAGCAGUUAAGGGGACCCACAGGAGGAAAGACAGAUUUUUGUAAUAUUGUGGUUAAUGUGAACAUAGGAAAACACAGGGAGCCUUUGCACAGAGGGGCUUUAAUAGUUUUGUCACACUAAGCAUUAAGCCAACAAAGACCUUAAAGUGCUGUCUCACUAUGGACAAGAAGGCUGUUUGUAGAGAAAAGGAAAUAGAUCAGCAGCAGAAACAAAAGGCAAGGAUAAACGGGCUCUGAAUGGACAAGUGUAACAGCAUUACUCCCCGGUGAUCAAGCGCAUGAGUUACCUUGUUAACAUUUGUCGCAAGUAUUUAGUAAAUACACAGUGAAAUGCCAACUGUGCAGAUAACAGCAUUUUUCACUAGUGAAAUAUCAAGCCAGUGAGGUUUUGUAAUCACAAAUGAACAAUUUCAAUUUUUAAACAUGCAGUCACUCAAAAUGAGUAAGCAGACUUUUAUUCAAACCUUACAAACAACCUUUACAUUUAGCCUAAGAUUAAGCAGGAGAAAGUUGAACCCGUGGUUACUUUUCAUUGCCCAGUUAAGCAUCUGAACACAAAGUAUUUCCAGUGAACACGCAUUUAUCAAACAUGAUCAUCCCAAUGAACUUGGCAAUGAAUAGUGACCCAAACCAAACUGUAAUUUACUCUGGUCUACAUGAUCUUCAGAGCCUAAAAGUACCUAUUUAGUAACGAUUUUAAAAAGUCACAGAACUUUAAGUCUGCAUGAAUGGACUUCCCUAAGUUUUCAGCAAACCUAAUAAAGGCUAAUGAAGGGUUUCAUAAGGACGGAGGUCCUGACAGAAAUAUUAUAAUUAUCUUGUAGUAUAAUAACUGAGAAUAAAAAGGAAGAGAUGGCAUACUAUUCUCUAGGAGAAUAAUGUACUCUUAAUGUACCAGAGUCCCUAAAAAAAAAAAAAUCCAAUAAAGCAGAUGGGAAAUAUUGAAAGAAAAACGGAAUUAUUCCCAUUUUGUGCUGUAUGCUGUACUGGAUGAUACAGAAUCAGAUUCAGAAAUGAGCAGCUGAAAUUUUUACCUGAGAGCCAAAUGGGCUCAGGAUUCUAAGAUCAUCAGGCUGAAGCCCUACCCCUGAACAACUUCCUGCUGGUACGAUUUUAAGCAAGCCACUGAAUGUCUCUGUAAACUCAGAGCCUUCUGUUUUGGGAUAACACCGUUUUUGGGCUUCCCUACCUCACAGGGUUGCUUUGAGGAAGAAACAAGACAAUAAAUGGUAAAGUAUUUUGUAAACAAAUAUAUUAGCUGUUGCAACUCUUCGUGAAUCUUAACUACUAAUGCAAGGAAAAGUAAAAAAAAAAAUCAUUAAAAUUAUUUUUAAACUAGA